rnacentral:rRNA from 1 species
GACAGAGGGUGCAAACGUUGUUCGGAAUUACUGGGCGUAAAGCGCGUGUAGGCGGCUAAGUAAGUCGGGCGUGAAAUCCCACGGCUCAACCGUGGAAGUGCACUCGAAACUGCAUAGCUAGAGUCCUGGAGAGGAAGGUGGAAUGCUUGGUGUAGAGGUGAAAUUCGUAGAUAUCAAGCGGAACACCGGUGGCGAAGGCGGCCUUCUGGACAGUGACGUGACGCUGAGACGCGAAAGCGUGGGGAGCAAACAGGGAUUAAGAAACCCCAG